UGCAACGUCUGAGAUCUUUGCCUUGCCCAAGCCAUAGGGUUGUGUUUAUGACACUGUUGUGCAAUGUAAACAAAUGAGGAGUUGAUCGUGUACAGUACUUAAAGACAAUUUUUUACAGCAUUAUUAUGGUGCAGUGGCUGCAGUGCUGGGUACAGCAAGACUUUUUAAUUUACCGCCCUUCAACAAAUCAUCAACAGAAUAGAUGUGCAGUCUUCAUGGGACACUUGAAAACUGCACAAGUCUCGUUUAUCACGCAUAAAAAGAAGUGCUUCUGUGACAAAGUGAAGAACAACAAACAUGCGGAACUAUGCUGUAACAUUUAUUUUAUCUAAUAUCAAAGAAUAAACACAUUAAUGUAAACAAAAGAAUUUAAUUAUAUUAUUUUCCAACUUU